AGAGAGCUUGCUUUCUAGAGACCGGCGGAUGGGUGAGUAACGCGUAUGCAACCUACCUUUUACAGGGGAAUAGCCCGGAGAAAUUCGGAUUAAUGCUCCAUGGUUUAUAGAUGUGGCAUCACAUUUAUAAUAAAGAUUUAUCGGUAAAAGAUGGGCAUGCGUAUCAUUAGCUAGUUGGUGUGGUAACGGCAUACCAAGGCUACGAUGAUUAGGGGUCCUGAGAGGGAGAUCCCCCACACUGGUACUGAGACACGGACCAGACUCCUACGGGAGGCAGCAGUGAGGAAUAUUGGUCAAUGGAGGCAACUCUGAACCAGCCAUGCCGCGUGCAGGAUGACGGUCCUAUGGAUUGUAAACUGCUUUUGUACGGGAAGAAAUGUAGUUAUGUGUAACUAUUUGACGGUACCGUAAGAAUAAGGAUCGGCUAACUCCGUGCCAGCAGCCGCGGUAAUACGGAGGAUCCGAGCGUUAUCCGGAAUUAUUGGGUUUAAAGGGUUCGUAGGCGGUUUAGUAAGUCAGUGGUGAAAUCUUGCAGCUUAACUGUAAAAUUGCCGUUGAUACUGCUAAACUUGAAUAGUAUGGAAGUAAUUAGAAUAUGUAGUGUAGCGGUGAAAUGCUUAGAUAUUACAUGGAAUACCAAUUGCGAAGGCAGAUUACUACGUACUUAUUGACGCUGAUGAACGAAAGCGUGGGUAGCGAACAGGAUUAGAUACCCUGGUAGUCCACGCCGUAAACGAUGGAUACUAGCUUGUUCGGUUUUCGGACUGAGUGGCUAAGCGAAAGUGAUAAGUAUCCCACCUGGGGAGUACGUUCGCAAGAAUGAAACUCAAAGGAAUUGACGGGGGCCCGCACAAGCGGUGGAGCAUGGGGUUUAAUUCGAUGAUACGCGAGGAACCUUACC
rnacentral:rRNA from 1 species